CGGCAACAGCUCAAAUUUGAAAUCUGGCUCUUUCAGGGUCCGAGUUGUAAUUUGUAGAAGAUGCUUCGGGUGAGGCUCUGGUCUAAGUUCCUUGGAACAGGACGUCAUAGAGGGUGAGAAUCCCGUAUGCGGAAGGUUGCCUUAGCCAUGUGAAUCUCCUUCGAC
rnacentral:rRNA from 1 species